rnacentral:rRNA from 1 species
UACGUAGGGUGCGAGCGUUGCCCGGAUUUAUUGGGCGUAAAGGGCGCGUAGGCGGCUCGGCACGUCCGUUGUGAAAUCGCCCGGCUCAACUGGGCGGGGUCAGCGGAUACGGUCGAGCUUGAGCAAGCUAGGGGGCAAUGGAAUUCCCGGUGUAGUGGUGGAAUGCGUAGAUAUCAGGAGGAACACCGGUGGCGAAGGCGGGUCUCUGGGCCGAUACUGACGCUGAGGAGCGAAAGCGUGGGGAGCGAACAGG